GCAGCCGCGGUAAUACGUAGGUGGCAAGCGUUGUCCGGAUUUACUGGGUGUAAAGGGCGUGUAGACGGGAUGGCAAGUCAGAUGUGAAAUUUAUGGGCUCAACCCAUAACCUGCAUUUGAAACUGUUGUUCUUGAGUGAUGGAGAGGUAAGCGGAAUUCCUAGUGUAGCGGUGAAAUGCGUAGAUAUUAGGAGGAACACCGGUGGCGAAGGCGGCUUACUGGACAUUUACUGACGUUGAGGCGCGAAAGUGUGGGGAGCAAACAGGAUUAGAUACCCC
rnacentral:rRNA from 1 species